rnacentral:rRNA from 1 species
UAACUGAGGACGUGCGGAAGAAACUGCAAGGCUCGACUCCGGCAGAGGGGGGUGGAAUUCCCAGUGUAGCGGUGAAAUGCGUAGAUAUUGGAGGAACCACCGGUGGCGAAGGCGGCCCCCCUGGACCGGUACUGACGCUGAUGCGCGAAAGCGUGGGUAGCAAACGGGACUAGAUACCCCGGUAGUCCACGCCGUAAACGAUGGGCACUUGGUGUCGCGGGUAUCGACCCCUGCGGUGCCGAAGCUAACGUAUUAAGUGCCCCGCCUGGGGAGUACGGUCGCAAGGCUGAAACUCAAAGGAAUAGACGGGGGCCCGCACAAGCGGUGGAGCAUGUGGUUCAAUUCGAAGCAACGCGAAGAACCUUACCUGGGUUUGAAGAUCAGUGGAUCGGGGGCGAAAUCUCCCUUCCCCGCAAGGGGCCGCUGGUUAGGUGCUGCAUAGCUGUCGUCAGCUCGUGUCGUGAGAUGUUGGGUUAAGUCCCGCAACGAGCGCAACCCCUGCUGCUAGUUGCCAACGGUUCGGCCGGGCACUCUAGUGGGACUGCCGGUGAUAAACCGGAGGAAGGUGGGGAUGACGUCAAGUCCUCAUGGCCUUUAUGUCCAGGGCUACACACGUGCUACAAUGGCCGGUACAAAGCGACGCGAAAACGCGAGUUCGAGCAAAUCGCAAAAAACCGGUCUCAGUUCGGAUUGGGGUCUGCAACUCGACCCCAUGAAGCUGGAAUCGCUAGUAAUCGCGGAUCAGCACGCCGCGGUGAAUACGUUCCCGGGCCUUGUACACACCGCCCGUCACAUCACGAAAGUCGGCUGUACCAGAAGUCGGUGUUCCAACCCGCAAGGGGGGAAGCCGCCUAAGGUAUGGUCGGUAAUUGGGGUGAAGUCGUAACAAGGUAGCUGUAGGAGAACC